CAAACACGACCUCCAACACUGGCGUGUCCCAAGGUCACACGGGCGUGUCCCUUGGACCACACGGGCAUGUGAGCCUUGCACCUUGGAAAAAUUUUGUAAUUGUCUACCUAAGUGGACAAAAUGAAGCUAUUUCUAACUUCAUUUCUCUCCCAAAAUUUCACCCAAGACCUGCACUUGAAACGCACAACCAAUACCAACCAUUUCAAGCACUCAAAUUGGGUAAUUUCUAGUAUUCACAAGGCAUAUCACUACAAGCAUACAUGUUCACAACCUUACCUUAGUUUAACUUAAGCGUUCAUAACAUUGAUCACAUAUUCUUAACAUAACACAUGUGAAAUAUAUUCAUAUCAUAAUAAUCUACUUAGUCAUACCAAAAUGAGCCGUUACUAGCAAUUCCAAUGGCUAGGUUACAAAAUAACAUUUUCAAGCCACUAUUGGCCAAGUUGUCCUAUGCAUGUCAUUAUACUAAAAUGAUUUCUACUAAGUAUACCCAAAAUGACUAGUUGAUACUGUGACGAUGCUCCAGUGAUCUCCAACCCUUGCAAGUACUAUAAAACAGGGGAAAACAAAAUGGAGUAAGCAUUAAAUUGUUAAUAAGUUCGUAUAACAGACACUAAACUUACCAGUCUUGCUUAUUAAAUAUAGGCAUACAAUGUUAUGUUUCCAUCCAUUUGGCUAAAUUUCCUAAUCACAUACAUUCAAUCAAACAUGUUAGUCACCAAAAUCUUCAUAUCAUUCAAGUAGCAUAGAUGAGCUCAUCAAGCAAUAUUCUUCCAAGUCUUUAUCAUAUCAUCUGAAGACUUUCAUGCCAUGGCAAGAGUUAUAUGUCCAUUGAAUUAUUGAAUUCUGAUGGAUGCUUAAGUAGUACACUCGAAGUGCUCGAUUCAAUAAUCUGUCAAUUUCUUAUUCAAGGGUACCCAUUAGGGCACUUAACCAAGAAACACUUUCUCGAGCCACAUAUCGUAUAACAUGAUUACUAGUCCAGGCUAAACCCUGAUCAUAAUGUAUACUCGAGAGGUAUUAUAUCGGGAUUACCCGUCCGGGCUAAAUCCUUUCUAUAACAUGGUCAUUGGGAUUACUCCUCUGAGCUAAAUAUCAUCCGCAACAAAUGCAGGACCUUAUUAGUUUCGGGAAAGCGAAUAUAAUCAUCGGAAUUCAAUAUUCAAUCGGGACUUAACCCCUUUUUCAUCAUUUUAAGCAUAUACUAAAUUUCUCAUGAUAACAUUCAAGUACAUCAAUAUAAAUCACAUUCCAUACAACACAACAUUCAAUAAACAUAUUUACAUGCCGAAUUAAGUUACACGAACUUACCUCGACACUUGUUCGUGUAAAAAGUUUACUAAUCUGAAACUUUUUCUUUUCCUCAAAUUGGUGUUGUCCGGACAUAUAUAAAUGAAUUUAACUAUCAAUUUCACACAUUUCAUAUUUAAAUAGACUCAAUUUACGUCCUAGGCAAAAUUACCAUUUUGCCCCUAACUUUUCCAUAAAUUUUGAUUGUCCUUAGGCCCGAAAAAUGAAACUUGUGCAAAUUACUCCCUAUUCCAAGCCUAACCACGACCCCAUUACAAAUUUUCAGCACAUGUAUUCAAAAAAUUUUAAAAUUUUUCAUCAAAAUUUACAACUUUACAUUUUAGCCCCUAAAUCAUGUUUUCAUCAAAAUUUACUUUGUAAAAACUAUUUAUCUAUGAACAAACUUUUAUUUUCUAGCAUAAAUUUAUAAUUUUCAGCAUAUUCAUCCAUGACCCAAAUUUCAUACCUUGAUAAAUUUUCAAAUUAAUCCCAUAGAUAGAGAGAUUAGACUAUCUCAAUUUCAAAAAUAUAAAAAUCAUUAAAAACGAGACUUGAUUUCAUACCUUUUCAAGCUUGGUAAGUUGUCUUCCUCUCUUCUAAGGUUUCCAUGGAAAUUUUGGAGAAUAUGAUAUAAAAUUAGAUGAUUAUUUCUUUUUAUUUAAUUACCAUCUUUUAAUUUUAGUGAUUUUCAAUUUAGUCCCUUGCCUUUUCUAAUUUUUUCCUGGAUGAGUCAUCAAGAAAAAUUUACAUACUUUUCUUAAUGGUCUAAUUACCAUAUAAGGACCUCUAUAUUUAAAUUCCAUAGCUAUUUAAUCCUUAUAACUAUUAGAAUUUAACUUUUACAUUUUAUGUGAUUUAGUCCUCAUAAUUAAGCACUUAAUCGAUAAAUUUUGUAUCAAAAUUUUCACACAACAUGCCUAUUAUAAUACGAAUCAUAUAAUAAAGGGAAAGUUGACUACUCACAAUGAAAAUUUUAAGUUGAAAUGUUUGUGGUCUUCUUCAUACGUUGAAGAAAUAUAAUCCCCAGAUGGUCUUCUUCAUGGAGACAAAGAUAAACAAAAUUCAGAUGGAACAGGUGUGAAAAAGCUAUAGCCUUGCUAAUGGUAUUGAUGUGGAUCUCGAUGGAUCUAGAAGAGGUUUGUGUUUAGCUUAGAGAGGUGAUGCUACCAUCACACUUUAGUAUUUUUCAAAACGACACAUUAACAUGCUUAUUGAAGAUCCUAACGAUGAAGAAAAAUAGAUAUACAGGAUUUUAUGGUUCCCUUUACGCACAAGAUACGAUUGAAACAUGGAAUCUAUGAAAAAACCUAUAUACCAAUAAGGAACUCCCUUGGAUUGUUUGCAGAGAUUUUAAUGAAAUCAUGUACACCUUUGAAAAGAAGGGAAGGUUGCCUAGAGACAAGAAGAAUGGAAGUAUUUCGAAAUGUUUUAGAAGAUUGUCAUUUGAUGGAUGUGACGUAUUCUAGUAAUUGGUUUACUUUGGAAAGAAGAAAUUUACCAGAAACAAAUAUCCAAUAGCGUUUAGACAGAGGUAUGGCUAACAAGAAUUGGAUGUCUAUGUUCCCUAAAGCUACCAUUCAACAUCCGGUGCACUCGAUCUCUAACCAUUGUCCUCUUCUAAUACGAAAAGAGAAAACAAUAGGAGUUGGAAAACAUUUAAAUGCGAGGCAUGGUGGGUCUUGGAGGAGUCAUUCGAUGCUGAAGUUAAACUCAUUUAGGAAACGGUAUCAGGAGGUCUACUGCAGAAGCUAGAUUGUCUAAAAAAAGGCUUUAAGAUAUGGGCUGUACACAUUUGUCUGUCUAGAAAACAGAAAAAAGAAUUUUUAUCCUCAAAGUUGGCUGAGUUGAUGGAAAUCGAAAGGAGUGAUAAUAAUUUACCAGAGCUGAUUGAUACAAAGUUCCAAUUGAAUUUUGAGAUUAAGAAAGAUGAAAGAUAUUGAUAGCAAAGAGCUCAAGUUAAUUGACUGAAAUUUGGGGACAAAAAUAUAGCCUUUUUCCAUAGUCAAGCAACACAAAGACGAAGGAUAAAUUGUAUUUGAAAAUUACAGAAUGACUGAAAGGGAAACGAAUGAUAUACAAGAAAUGGCAGAAAUUGCUAGAUCCUAUUUCCAAAAUUUAUUUAAGGUUAGGGAAAAAGGGCAUUAUGAACAUCUCUUAUCGAGUAUUGAACGUUGUAUAUCUGAAGAGGAUAAUCAAAGACUCACGACAUAAUAUACAAAGGAAGAGGUUUUGGGAGGCGUUUACUAGAAUGGGGCCUACAAAAGCACUGGGUGAAGAUGGGUUUCCGGCCUUAUUUUUUCAAAAAUGCUGGCAUAUCAUUGGGGAAGAGGUCACACUUUUCUGUCUUCAACAUCUAAACGAAGGUAUGGAGGUUAGUCCAAUUAAUACUACUCAUAUUUUGCUUAUUCCUAAAAGAGCAAAUCUGACCAACCUUACUCAUUUUCGUCCCAUUAGCUUAUGCAAUGUUAUUUAUAAAAUAAUGGAAAAGGCUAUUGCUGAUCGAUUUAGAGAAGUCUUAGAAAAAUGCAUCGAAUGUGCACAGAGUGCUUUUGUGCUAGGAAGGUUAAUCUCGAAUAAUGUAUUAUUGGCAUAUGAAAUUUUACACACUCUAAAACAGAAAAAAAUUUGGAAAACAAGGGUUGAUGGUAGUAAAACUCGAUAUGAGUAAAGCGUAUGAUAGGGUCGAAUGGAAUUUUGUAUAGUAGAUGAUGAUGAGAAUGGGUUUUGACCCUAGCUGGAUUACUUCUAUUAUAAAGUACGUAUCUACUAUUUCUUAUUCAGUGGUACUUAAUGGUCAAGUUGGGGAAAAUUUUCAACCAAUGAUAGGAUUAUGGUAAGGUGAUCCUUUGAGCCCGUUUUUAUUUCUGAUAUGCAGAGAAGUCUUAUCUUGUCUUAUAAGACUGGCACUUCAAGAAGGGGCUACAAAUAUCAAAUUUGUUAUUCGCUGAUGAUUGCAUUUUAUUUGGAGAGGCUACUGAAAAGGGAGCUUGUUUAUUAAAAAUAAUUUUACGCGAGUAUGGAACCUGUUCAGUUCAUUGCGUCAAUUUUGAUAAGUCAACUGCUUUCUUUAGCACUAAUACACAGGAGAAAGAAAGACGAUUAGUUUCUCGCAUACUCAAAGUACGAAGCUUAAUUGACCCAGAACAUUAUCUUAGAAUUACCUAAUAUGGUGGGCAGAAGGAAGAAAGAGUCUUUUCAAAACUUAAAGGAAAAAUUUAAGCAAUGAAUUGACAACUAGAGUAUUCGACAUCUCUCUCAAGGUGGGAAAGAAGUUUUUAUUAAGGCCACUCUUCAAGUUAUUCUGACAUAUACAAUGGCCUUUUUUUUACUACCUAAAUAUUUGUGUGUUGAUCUUGAGAGUAUUAUUACGAAAUUUUGGUGGCAGAAGGAUUGUGGCAAAAGGGCAUUCAUUGAUGUGCUUAGAAGGAUCUUUGCAACGUAAAAGAAAAUGGGAGUUUGGGGUUUUGAAAUCUUGGUCAAUUUAAUAUUGCUUUAAUAGCCAAGUAAAGUUGGCACCUUAUUAAUUUUCCAUAUUCUUUAUUAGCAAAUGUCUUAAAAGCCAAAUACUACCCAAAUUUAGACUUUAUCAAUGCAUAGUUAGGGAAUUUACCUUCGCUUACCUAGAAGAGUGUUUGGGCAGCAAACGGGUUACUGACAUAUAGCUUAUGUUGGUGAGUCGGUAGGGGAGAUCAUAUAUCUGUUUGGAGUGAUCGGUGGGUACCAGGAGUUGUUACAGAGAGAAUCAAUAAUAAUUCCAACAUUGUAGAAGAAAAGUUAGUUUCGGAUUUAAUUGAUGCUUCAACAAGAAAAUGGAAGACAGAUCUAAUAGUUAAUACCUUUCAAGUGGAUAUAGCACAAAAGAUUUUGCAAAUUCCUCUAGCGGAAGAAGAACAUGAUGAUUUCCAAGUCUGGCGAGGAGAACAUCCUGACGAAUUUUUAGUCAGAAGUGCCUACAAACUAUUGCAACAGGCUAAUAUGGAUCCUAAUACUUAUUAAAUACAGGCCAAAAGAAAAAAUUUCUACAGAAAGCUAUGGAAUUUACAUCUCCGAUCAAAAAUUGCUAUCACUAUAUAGCGUAUUUCCUGGAACUUUAUUUCUACUCUAACAAAUCUCAGAUUAAAAAGAGUGACUGCAGAUAUUUCCUGUUCUCGGUGUCGAAAUGCGGAAGAAGAUAGCAACCAUGUUUUCAGACAAUGUUCAACAGCAACAGAGACAUGGCAAAAUCUAAAUCUAUCAUGGGUCAUUAAUACUAAUAUUCAAGAUUUGUAGGAAUGGCUUACUUAGGUCUUCACCAUGGGUAACAACAAAAAAUGUUGACUCUUUUGAUGUGCUGUUUGGACAAUAUGGAGUUCAAGAAACCAGUUAAUUCACGAGGGGAAAAUAACAACAGGAAGAGAUUUAUCGAAUUGAAUCCAAAGUUAUAUACCAGAGAUUGAUGGGUUAGAAGAAAAACCACUUACCUCAAAUGAUGGUAGAAGACAGAGACAGGAAGAAAGAAAUGCAAGAGUAGCUAUUUAUUUUGAUGCAUCUUACGACGGUGAAUAUUCUAGAUCGGCCUCGGGUCUAGUGGUGUCAGGGGAGAUGGGUAAGUUUUUAGCCUCGAAGACAAUCCUCCAUUCCACAAUAUCGUCUCUGUUCAUGGCAGAGGCACAUGCAGGGUCACAAGCAUGAAGUUAGGGAUUUCAAUGGGUUUUCAAUUAGUAGAUAGCAUAAGAGAUUCAAAAACGGUCACAAAGAAAUGUAACUCAGCAAAGACAGACAAAUCAGUUAUAGGGGUGAUUAUCCAAGACAUUCAAAGUAAAAAACAACACUUCCAAGAAAUCAAUUACUUCUAGUUUGUUCAAAGAUCAGGAAAUGGUUAUGCCCACGAACUUGCAAAAGAAGCAUUAAGAAAAGGAGAAGAAAAGUACCUGGAGGGAGUAGAUUUCGUCCAUCUUCAACGCAAACAAGAGGAAAGAUGGCCGAGACAUCCAGAUUGAAGAGUCCUCAUAGGAAAUCUGAAUCUGAAGAGAUAAGGAUAGCAGAAAUGAAAGCUUUUUUGAAACUUGCUAUCAGUUGAAGUGCUGGUAUAGAGAUUCGAAAAGACUGAUAAUUAAUGGGUACCAGCUAUUGACAAUGACUGGAUUAG
rnacentral:lncRNA from 1 species